AAUCAACGCUGGCGGCGUGCCUCAGACAUGCAAGUCGAACGAUUGAAGCUCUCUUCGGAGAGUGUAUAGAGUGGCGCACGGGUGAGUAACACGUAAGUAAUCUACCUUCGAGUGGGGAAUAACGUCCGGAACGGACGCUAAUACCGCAUAAUGCAGCGGCAUCGCAAGAUGACAGUUGUUAAAGAUUUAUCGCUUGAAGAGGAGCUUGCGGCAGAUUAGCUAGUUGGUAAGGUAACGGCUUACCAAGGCUACGAUCUGUAUCCGGUCUAAGAGGACGGUCGGACACACUGACACUGAAUAACGGGUCAGACUCC
rnacentral:rRNA from 1 species